ACGUGGUAAUGGUGGAGGAAGAGGAAAUGUGAACAAUCAAAAUAAGUUGAAUUCUCAGCCUCCACCAAAACAAAACAAAGUAACGAACCAACAAGAACAAUAAAAAGAAAUAAUUUGUCAAAUUUGUGGCAAAAAGAACCAUUCGGCUGUUAAUUGUUGGUAUCACUAUGAUUACUCUGAUGAAGAGGACACACCCAAGGCGCUUGCAGCCAUGAAUCUCCAAGAUGGAAACGACCCUAAAUUCUAUGCAGAUUCGGGUGCAACCUCUCAUAUGACAAAUAACAAAGGUAAUAUUGACAAACCAGUUCCCUACGAAGGUAAUGAUAAAAUAUUUGUGGGAAAUGGUCAAGGUCUUCAUAUUACACAUGUUGGUAAUGCAUCUCUAAAUACUGAUUAUGGGAAAUUGAAACUAAAUAAUGUGUUGGUUGUCCCUCAAUUAAAGAAAAUUUUAUUAUCUGUUGGACAACUUAUUAAGGAUAAUAAAUGUUCUUUUGAGUUUAACUCUGAUGGCUUUGUUGUUAAGAAUCAGGAGAAGGAGGUCCUAGCAAGGGGGCUUAAAAAGGGCAACCUAUAUGCCUUAGAAGAAAAUAAAGAAUUAACAUUUGCUACAAUAAGAG
rnacentral:lncRNA from 1 species